AUACACAGGUUUUCUUGUCAUUAUUUCCUAAACAAUACAGUGUAACAACUAUUUAUAAAGCAUUUACACUGUAUUAGGUAUUAGAAGUAAUCUGGAGAUAAUUUAAAGCAUAAGAGAGGAUGUGGGCAGGUUACAUGCAAAUGCAAAGCCAUUUAUAUAUGGAUUGAGC